rnacentral:rRNA from 1 species
UACGUAGGGUGCGAGCGUUUAAUCGGAAUUACUGGGCGUAAAGCGUGCGCAGGCGGUGAUGUAAGACAGAUGUGAAAUCCCCGGGCUCAACCUGGGACCUGCAUUUGUGACUGCAUCGCUGGAGUGCGGCAGAGGGGGAUGGAAUUCCGCGUGUAGCAGUGAAAUGCGUAGAUAUGCGGAGGAACACCGAUGGCGAAGGCAAUCCCCUGGGCCUGCACUGACGCUCAUGCACGAAAGCGUGGGGAGCAAACAGG